GGAGCGGUUAAUGUGAGAGGUUAAACGGUGUAACCGUUUGAUUUAUAAAGAAGACGGGCGGCCUGCAAAGCCGUUUAGGCCGGUUCGACUCCGGCUCGCGCCUCCA
rnacentral:tRNA from 1 species